CUGUAGAAGGGCUGCCCAUAGGAGGAAGAAACAGGCCACCAGAGAGCCUACGUGUGACGGAUCAGUGAAGAAAUGCCACUGCGAGCGUCCAGUUCACAGGAGGGAGCACAGAGGAGCUCCUCCACCUCCAGCAUCCUGGACUUCAGGCUCUUCGUGAAAGGCUGGGACUCAGCCAGGAAGGCGACUCAGAUCUGACCAGCCCUCAGGAACAGCGCAGAAGUGGAGAGGAAUCAGUGAUGGAUGAUGGACAGCUCUCCCGCCACAGGAGGACGACAGGACUCACCCUCCACCCACCGCGGGAGGGGAGGGAACCCUCACCCACGGGACGGGUCAUCUCCUGCAGCAUUAUCUUCCUGGCUCUUCCUGUUGGACUCCCAGGAUUAGGGGGCCAACCCUCCCAGUUUUCCAGAGACUUCCCGGAAAGUAGAAACGUCUGUGCUAAAAUCAGGACAGUGCUGCCACAGCAGGAAGAGCAGCCACUCUGGGCCUAACGGAUGUGCAGGCGUCCGGGACUGGGAGGCGGUCGCCCUUCUCCUCUGCAAUGUUGGACCCUGGAGCUUUUCAAGAAAGAAGACACAACAAUAACGCCCAUCCACGCCUGCUGGUGUGCUCCCUCCUGGCGGCAGCCACGGCUUCAGAAAUGAAUUCCACCUAACCAGUAGUCAUUCGCUUUAUAACGCCUGCGGAUCUUUGAACUAGGAGGAAAAUGGGGAGCUUUUCAUAGCAUCCCCUUUGAAAAAUCUUCUUUGAGGUCUCAAAUUUAAACUUCCAACCCUGACCAUGACAUUAUAGAUACAGCCUCAGUUUUGCAAAAUUUUAGCAAUAAAAGUGAGAAACUGACACAAGUAUGAGAAGAGACAUGAAAAUCAUAAUGGUGUUUGUAUAAGGAGGUAGAAAUAUAAGAAAUGUAAUUAUUAAAAAAUUCUCUUUGUACUUUCAUUUAAUAACAAAAUAAGUUGGUUGCAUAAUGAAACAGAAUUUCUAAGAAAAGCAAAAGGACUAAUUAUAGUGACUAUUAUGGAUAUCACUAAUUUUCACUGCUGGAAAAAUAACACCUUCUAGACGUUUCCAGAUAAACUGUUGUGUGAGUGCUGCCAUAGUCACAAUUUCUUUCUGUGUUAGUUUCCAGAACAGUGGACAAUACUAUUUUGCUUCAAGUCAGAUACAGAAAAUGGGGAAAAGACACUAGGUUUUUGGACAAGGCACCCUGCUUAAACACCAGGAAUGUGGAAAAAGAGGUAUUGUUGAACCAACAAGAUUUUUAUGAUGAAUGAAAUAGCUCUCAGCAGCUCUAAAACCGACUUCCAGCAGAAUCAGUUUUCCUCUGACUUACUUAAAAAUCUCCCAAUCAUAUUCCGCAAAGGCAUAAUUGACUGCCAGAAAGGACAGGUCUGCUCACAGAAUGAGGACCACAGAAAGCCUCUCUCGCCCUUCUGCAACAUCUAGAGGGCGCUGGGCGCUGGGGUCUGGCUGGCACACUCUCUGACCCAGCAGCCAACUGCGGGGUGGACCAGUGAGACCCCCAUCCAGUGUCUGAGGAGUGGGCAGCACAGCCCCCAUUAGCCCGCCGCUGUCUUGGCGAUGUAUGUCGGAGGAGACAGAUUCUUUACAGAACCUGAAGACUCAUUCUGACAAAAAGACCAAAGGAAAAUGACUGAUUUUAUUACGUAGUCAUUUAAUUACACUCACAAGGCUGAUUUUUUGAUUUACUAAAACAUCUGUUUGUCUACCAGAAAGAGAUCUGAAAGC
ensembl:lncRNA novel transcript